GAGAGAGAGAGAGAAUCCCAAGCAGGCUUCGCUCUGUCAGUGUGGAGCCUGUCUUGGGGGCUUAAUCCCAUGAACUGUGAGACCAUAACCCGAGUCAAAAUCAAGAGCUGGACACUUAACCAACUGAGCCACCCAGACGUGUGCCUUACUAACGUUUUAAAAUACACGUUCCUUCCUCCUAUUCCCCUCCUACCACAUAGGAAACUGUUCCAAUGUAUUUUUUUAAUGUGCAUCUUUUAGUUUGUAUGUGUUCUUUGAUGGUCCAUAUAAAAAUGUAGUUUUAAUGGUACUGUGUUCUAUACUUCAUUCUAUAUCCUUUUUUCACUAUAUUUUUAAUAUUCUACAUGUUUCCAUGUGUAUUGCAAGUGUGUAGCCUUCUAAGUGCUUCCCCAGUCACAGGUAAUGAGCACCUAGCUAGUCUCCAAUGUUCUGUCCCCAUGAACAACUUCGAAUUGUAUAACUUCUUGUAUGUCCCGUUAUAGAUGUAUGUGAGACUGUCUUUGUGAUAGGCUCAGGAAGGGGUUCUAGUUAUGUUCACACUUAAUCUGACCAAAUGGUGCUUUCGAUUUGCCGGGUUGCACCAGUCUACAUGCCCACCAGCAGAGCAUGAUAUUGUCAUCUCUCCACCAACACCUGGCAUGACCCAGCUUUCCAAUAUCUGCCCAUAAAAUAGAAGGAAGAGAAUGUCUCGUUUUGGUUUUGUUAUUUUAAAGAGACUUUAUUUUUUAUUUAUUGUAUUUAAAAAAUAGUUAAUGUUAAUCUUUGAGGCAGAGAGAGACUGAGUAUGAGCAGGGGACGGGCAGGGAGCAAGGGAGACACAGAAUCUGAAGCAGGUUCCAGGCUCGGAGCCGUCAGCACAGAGCCCGACUUGGGGCUCGAACCCACGAGCUAUGAGGUCAUGACCUGAGCAGAAGUCAGACGCUCAAGUGACUGAGCCACCCAGGCACCCCUAGACUUUAUUUUUUAGAGACAUUUUAGGUUCAUAGUAAAAUUGAGGGAAAAGUAAAAAGAAUUCCCAUAUAUAACCCUGUCCCCCAUGAGCCUUCUCCACUAUCAACAUCCUGCACAAGAGUGGUUGGUACAUUUGUUACAAUUAAUGAAGCUACAGUGACACAUAAUAGCCACUCAAAGUUCAAGUGUACAUUAGGGUUCACUGUUGGUGUUGUAGAUUCUGUGGAUUUUGACAAAUAUAUAACGACAUAUAUCCACCAUUAUAGCAUCAUACAGAAUACUUUUACUGCCCUAAGAAUCUUCUUGCUCUCUGAUUCAUCCUUCCUCCCUCCCUAACCUCUGGCAACCACUGAUUUCUUUUUAUUUUUUAAUUUUUUUCCUGUCUCUUGCUUUGCCCAGAAUGUCAUAUACUUAGAGUCAUACAGUAAGUAUCCUUUUCAGAUUGACCUUUUCCGUUUCGUAAUAUGUGUUUAAGAUACCUCUGUCAUCUCGUGGCUUAACGGCUGACUUCUUUUUAGCAAUGAGUAAUAUUGCUCAUUACUUGAGGUACCACAGUUUAUCCGUUUGCCUACUGAAGGGCAUCUUGGUUGUGGCCGUUGAAAAUAAAGCUACUAUAAAUAUCUGGGUGCAGGUUUUUCGUACAUUUUCAACUCAUUUGAAUAAAUACCAAGAAGGGCCAUUGUUGGAUUACAUGGUAAGAGCAUGUUUAGUUUUGUAAGAAACCGCUGAACUGUCUUCCCCAGAAGUUCUUCCAGUUUGCAUUCCAGCAGUAUUGAAUGAGAGUUCCCAUUGUUCCACAUCCUCAUGAGAGUGUUUGGGAUUUCAGCGUUGAGGAUUUUGGCUAUUCCAAUAAGUGUUCGUGGUAUCUGAUUGUUGUUUCAGUUUGCAUUUCUCUAAUGACACAUGAUGUGGAGCCUCCUUUCGAAUGCUCAUCUGCUGACCGUGUAUCUUCUUAGAAACUAGAGCCUCAUAUCAUGAUUAGCAAACACCCCUGGUCUGGGGGUCAGUGAAUCUUCGUGGGGAUCUGCAGAAGGUGCAGCUGUUGGAAACUCCCCGGCUGCUUCACAGUCGUGAGGUGAGCUAGCAGGCUGAUCUCCCUCUUCUCUGUAGCACAUGCUGUUCCAUCCUUAUAAUUAUUACCAAUUUAGAGGAUUGAUGGAAAGAACAGAAGGGGAAAGGAACAGUCCCAAGGAGUGUAAAAGGAGUAUAAAAAUGUCAUUUGUGUAUUAUUGUUGGAAACUUGUCACCGCAUCUAUGAAGCUGAGGAGUGUAACCGGCAUUGGAACAGGCCAUGAUGGAAGAACGGAUUUACCUUUCUGUAAAACUGAACAAAACAUGUGAGGUGACUACUUUUAGGCACUGGAAAAUAGUGCAGGACUCCAGUCUCAGCAAGACAGGAAAUAAAUGAGUUUUGGAGAUUAUCACUUCACUUCUUACUGUGAAAGGGAAUGCUGAAUUCUCUGAUCCACUUUUCAAACCUCAGCCAGACUCCCUCCACCAUCCCCAACCUGCACAUCUCCCAAGUGUGUAUCUAUUUCACUUUCUCUUCACUCUGACAAUAUUUUUGGUUCUAUUGGUGUUCAGUGUUAAAAUCAGUACGUCUAUGUAGAUAUUAUUAAACAUAGCUGAGUCUCACAGUAUUCUAUGCUUUCCCUUCACGUAUAAUUAGCUUUUCUGGAAGUUAACAAUUUUCUCCUUUUAUUGUUGUUGUUAAUGUCGUUGUUGUUGUUGUUGUUAUUUUAAGAAAAUUCUGUACUCAACGGUGGGGCUUGAAUUCAAAACCCUGAGAUCAAGAGUUGUAUGCUCUACUGACUGACUGAGCCAGCCAGGCGCCCCAGUAAUUGUCGACUUUUAAAUUUGCUUUGUUAUAAAGACAAUUGACAGAGCUAAGAGAGUGAGGGAGAGAAGUGUGAGAGAGAAGGAAAAAACAAAAGGAGAAAAGAACUUCUCAACUCAGUCGAACACUUGAGAAAGCCUGAGACUUUGACUUUUGCUUCAAACUGUAUGUUCUGGAUGAACCUUCUCCUUCCCGGUGGACUGGUUGCUGUCUAGACUCACUGCUCAGCUUUGUCAGGAUCUUCCCUUUAUCGCCAUCCCCAGAACAUUCCUUUUCCUUUUGCUGAUGUUGGAGCUCCCACUUGCUGGGGACCAUGUCUUCCUCUUUCAUGGUUUAUACCUUUGUUUGGGGGGGUGGGGAAUGCUUCCUCUAGUAGAUUGCAGGGAACUGUGCUGUGAAACUCACCUAGGGAGGAGAUACCACUGCCACUGUCCACGAGGCACUAGAGAAAACUGCUGUUGGCUUUGCCAUUCCAGAUCAGACCAACCAGGGGCACCCUCUGGGCACCCUGUGCUGCCAUCCCUGUCCCGAAGUGAUGCCCAGAAGCCCCUGUGGCCGUCCACUCCUGCCAGUUAGAAGCUCUGCUAUUGUCUUUUGAAUUCAUCUCUCAGACCCUUUUCCUCAAUAUACCUUUCCAAGCCACAUUUCUAAAUGUUAAGAAACAUUAAUCCUAAGAAAAUCUCCUCCAUUCCUUCUAUGCAGGUUGGAAUAAUUCAGGUUACAUCAGGUAGUGCCCCAGAAGGUUCGUGCUCAUCGGUUAGGUAGGUAAAACCAGUCUGUUUGACAAAUCUGGUUUACAAUUUUAAGUAAACAUACAUGGUUUUUUAUGGCAAACAUUUCAGCAAGCAUAGUUACCGGUAACACAUGGUCUAAUUGAAAGAUUGUAAGCCAACGUUCGGCGGAAAUACUAAAAAUAAACCUUCAAAUAUCACAUGAAAGCUUUGUAUUUAACAGACUUAGGCAGAAACUCAACUUUUUGGUGACAGAAUACAGAAUAACUAUAGUUUUCAUUUAAAUUUCUUGGUAACAGGUAGGUACAUAAUUGCUAAAUAUUACUUACCAAUUUUUAAAGUUCUAAUAGCCAGAGCAAAAAGGAAAAAGACCUUUUAAAAAUUCUUUGAAAAAAUAAGAUCUGUUUCUGUUAUUCCCGUAACUUUUUAUUUUUUAGUUUUUGAGUGGGAGAGAGAGACAGAGCAUGAGCAGGGGAGGGGCAGAUGGCGGGAGGCACAGAGUCCCAAGCAGGUUCCAGGCUCUGAGCUGUCAGCACAGAGCCUACCAUGGGGCUCGAACCCACGAACCAUGACAUCGUCACCUGAGCUGAAGUCAGACAUUUAACUGACUGAGCCACCCAGGUUCCCCUCCAGUAACAUUUUCUCUCAAAUGCUUAACUUGAGAAUAGCAUUAACCUGGUGAAAUAUGAAGAUGAAAUUAUUUUCUGCAAGUCCAUGGGUUUAAAUGUGUUUUUAAUAGAAGGUUAAUAACAGGAACCAGAGACCAUUGAUCUGAUAUUUAACCUUAUUUUCUACUUGUGUUUAGUAUUCUUGCUUUGCACAGCAAAUUUUCUUUUCUCUCCAUUGAAAACUGGGAAAAUCUUCUUAAUCUCAGAUAGGGACCAAAGGACAUUUGUGUUAACAUCAGUCAUCUCUCCUUGGGGGUAAUCUUUGACAAUGUGAAGGAAAUGACAUUGGUUUUAAGGGAUUGGAACACAAAUGAGGGAGAAGAAAGUUAAGAAAUAGGGAAAGAAAUGAUAACAGCUCCUUACAAGCCUUGUGCUAUUUAAAUUCACAAAAUUAAUCAGAGAAGAGUUGUAAGUACUUUCCUGUUCCAACUUAGACAAACUUCGAGUUGAAUAUUAUCCAUCAGGAGCUAUUAAAAAUUUAUCCUUUGCUUCAGAUUUGGAGCAAUAUGACUUUGAAAGACACGUAAGGAAAAAGGUGUAGGGUUGCAGGACAGCUUUUAUGGCCAUUUCUCUGAGUUUCUCUGAGCUAAUUAUAUGUCAGUUUUUUGAUUAAAAAGACGCUGGGGAGAGGGCUGCUGGAGAGUGACUGAGGGUCACAGUUCCAUAAUAAGCCUUCUGAUUAGGAUUGCAUCCAAGAGCCCAUUGCAAGAGAAAUUCAUUUGCGGGAGGAUCUGAGCUUGCAUUCUGAACAACUGCAGAUGAGAAGAGGCAGUGGAAAGAGGACUUGGAAAGGGCUGAGUGUGACCCUCCGGGAUGGUAAGGUUGGUAAAUACGGGAUGGGGAUGGGGAUCAAGAUGAUCAUGCUUCGUCUGCCACCCACUGGCCAAAGAAUGAGUUCCACAUAAUUGGAAUGCGCACAUUUAAGGUUAGGAUUUUUCCCAACUCAUCGCUUCUUUCACUUUUCUGUGAUGCAACUGUCUCUAUUUUGAGCUUCCAUUCUGUUUGGUGGUGGAAACUCAACCCAGCCAAUUCCUUAUCCUUCUCCUGAGAUUUGAGGGCAUAGGGGGAGAGGCUCUACGUUGCACUGGGGUGUCAAGUGGGGAGGGUGUAACCGCAGGUUAUUAUCUAGCCCGUCUGGCGUUUGCCGUGAUGUAGAAAUCCACCUGGAUCCUCACUGGCCUCACCCUGCUGCCAUGACGUUCACAUUCCUACAGCGUCCCUGGUUUUAUACGCUUCAUGCUGCUGUGUCUCCUUUCCUGGCUGCAAGCUCCAGCAGCCCCCUCUCACCUAAUGUCUCAGGUUGUGGAGAUGACUUUUGGAUGAUACCUCAUGCCACUCUGAGACUGUGGGAAACUGGGGAGUUACCUCCAGCUCUGUCUGCAUAGAGGCACUGCCGCUUUGAAGUGUCUCAGUGCGUAAAUUUCCAGCUGUAGUAGGAAACUUACCUCAAACUGCCUCCAGGUAAGUUAUUAGCUCAUAUAAGACAGUAAGAGGUGAAGCGAGCUUCAGGGUGUGUUGAUCCAACAAUUGAAAAAUGCAGUCACAGAACCGGGUUCUCUCUGUCUCUCCGCCUGCCCACUGCCUGUCAUCUUUACUCCAAAGUGGAUACAUGUCUUGGUUGUAUGAUAGCUGCCAGCGGACAUGAUGGCUUUGUCUUUUGUAUCUAGUUGGCUUCUCGAGCUUCUUUUUCAAAAUGAAGUAGGACCUGCCCAGAAGCCUCUGAUAGAGCCCUCUUUAUCUCUUGUUGGUAUGGCUGGGUCACAUGCUUAUUUCCUUUUAUUGUUUUUAUUUGAAGUUUUUCAUUUGAAUUCCAGUUAGUUAACAUCCAGUGUUAAAAUCACAUGCUUAUUUCUGAAUCAAUUUAUUUUAUUUUAUUGUUUUAUUUUACUUUUAAUGUUUAUUUUUGAGAGAGAGAGAGCAAGGGGAGGGGCAGAGAGAGCGGGAGACACAGAAUUUGAAGCAGGCUCUAGGUUCUGAGCUGUCAGCACAGAGCCUGACGUGGGGCUCGAACUCACGAACUGUAAGUCAGAUGCUUAGCUGACUGAGUCACCCAGGCACCGCUGAAUCAACUGGUUUCUGGUUGAACCCAGAAGCCAAGAGUGGAAUCGCUGUCUCCUGAGGCAUUUGUCUAUGUGGAGCAGGACUGAGUACCUGAAGAAAGUUUGGAAUUUUUUAGGAAGAGAAUGAGGAGAAUGGAUACUCUCUAGGCAAUAAGAUCAAUCAGGAGUUAGUUAGGAAAACAGACCCCUCUGGGAACUUGAAGCUGAGCAAGAUUUGACAUAGGGAAGGAAGCCACAAAAUCACUGGAAAGGGUGGAUGAGAGAAAAAGGAGGGGGUAAGGUAGUAUGACUCAGUGUUCAGGAGAUCCAGGAAGCUGUUCCUGGCCCUGUGGGGGACCACACCUUUCUAGCCCUGAAUGCCUCUGAGCCCAUGUUCUUAUGCCCCUGCAGACCUAGGGCAGUCCUUACCAGGGGCACACUGCUACCACAGCCAAAGUCAAGUGUGGCUCUUUCUUCCUUCUUCCCUUCACUCUUUUCUUUUUUGAAAACAGAUUUAUUGAGAUAUAAUUCACAUGCCAUGCACUGGAACGAUUUUAAGCACGCAAAAGGUUACACAGUGAAACCUUGGUUUGUGAGCAUAAUUCUUUCUGGAAACAUGCUUGCAAUCCAAAGCACUCAUACAUCCAAGCGAACUUCAAGAACCGUUGGCUCAGUGGUGGUCACGUGACAUUCGGCAUCAUGUACUACUCGUAUUGCAGAUUGUCCCUGGUUUAUCAAGUUAAAAUUUAUUAGACGUUUGCUAGUCUUGGGGAACGUUUGUGGAAUAAUUGAAGGCUUUACUGUAAUUCACUGGCUUUAGCAUAUUCACAGAGCUUGUAUCCGUCACCACAAUCCAUGUCAGAACAUUUUCAUUACCCCUAGAGAAACCCUUUCUCCUCAGAUGUGACCCCUCUUUCAAUCCCCUUACUCAUCCUGCCCCUCACCUCCCUACCCCCCACCCUAGACAGAAAUGAAUCUCCUUUUUGUGUCUAUAGAUUUGCCUACUUUGGACAUUUCAUACAAAUCAAUUUUCAUAAUAUGUGGUCUUUUGUGAUUGGAUUCUUUCACUUAGCAUAACAUUUUCAAGUUCAUUCAUGUUGUAGCAUGUGUCAGUAUUCAUUUGUUUUUAUUGCUGAAUACUCUUCCAGUGGUAUGAAUAUACUACAUCUUAUUUAUCCAUUCGUCAGUUAAUGGACCUUUGAGUUGUUUCCACUUUUUAGCUGUUAAUUAUGCUGCCAUGAACAUUCAUGCACAAGUUUUUAUAUGGAUGUAUAGAUGUUGGGCAUAGACUUAGGAGUGAAAUCACGAGGACUGCCAUGAAGGACUGCUAAGCUGUUUUCCAAAGCAGAUGAACCAUUUCACAUUCCUACCAGCAGUGUAUGAGGGUUCCAAAAUUCCUCCACCUCCUCAACAACACUUGUUGUUAUCUGUCUUUUUAUUUUUUAAUUUUUAAUGUUUACUUAUUUUUAAGAGAGCGAGAGAGCGCGUGAGGAUGAGUGGGGGAGGGGCAGCGAGAGAGGGAGACACAGAAUCCGAAGCAGGCUCCAGGCUCUGAGCUGUCAGCACAGAGCCCAACACAGGGCUCGAACUCAUGAACCCUGAGAUCAUGACUUGAGCUGAAGUCGGAUGCUUAACCGACUGAGCCACCCCAGGCUCCCCAUCUGUCUUUUUGAUGAUAGCUUUCCUACUGAAUAUGAAAUGGUAUCCUGUUAUGCUUUUCACUUGCAUUUCCCUGGUGGUAAAUGAUGAAUAUCUUUUCUUGUACUUGUUGGCCAUUGGUGUUUCUUUUUGGAGAAAUAUUCCUCAGAGCCUUUGUCCAUUUUUAAUUAGACUGUCUUUUUAUUACUGAGCUAUAGCAGUUUUCAAUAUGUUCUAGAUACAAGUCCCUCAUUAGGUAUAUGGCUAUGAAUAUAGCCACUUACUUAUUUUAUAACGGGAGGUUUGUUCCUUUUUACCCCCUGCAGCUGCCCCUUCUAAUUUUUUUUAAUGUUUAUUUACUUUUGAGAGAGAGAAAGAGAGCGAGUGAGUGUGAGCAAGCGGGGGAGGGGCAGAGAGAGAGGAAGACACAGAAUCUGUCAGCACAGAGCCUGAUGUGGGGCUCGAGCUCAUGAACCAUGACAUCAUGACCUGAGCUGAAGUUGGUUGCUUAACUGACUGAGCCACCUAGGCACCUCAGUUCUAGUUCUGUUGUUAGGGAAAUAUUUCUAUAAAUUAAUGAUGAAGUAGAAAAUUGGCCAACCAAGAGGGCCCUGAGUGAAGGCACCAUCUCCCGGUUGAAUAGAUCAUAUCAGGAAUACUUUCUUGGGGCGCCUGGGUGGGUCAGUCAGUUAAGCUUCUGACCUCAGCUCAGGUCAUGAUCUCACGGUUCGUGAGUUCGAGCCCUGCGUUGGACUCUGUGCUGACAGCUCAGAGCCUCAAGCCUGCUUUAGUUUCUGUGUCUCCGUCUCUCUCUCCCCCUCUCCCUCUCUCUCAAAAAUAAAUAAACAUUAAAAUUUUUCUUAAAGAAGUCAGGUUUUUCAAAAAUGUUUUCAUUUGUUAAGUUUUAAAAUACAUCAAAAUUAGAAACAAUGGUACUGAUGAGCUAGAUUUAACUAUUCUUUACAUUGUGCCAUAGUCACUUCAUCUCUCUGGUUUUUAUUCUAUCAUCCCAUAGUCAAUGAAAAACAUCAAAAUUUUAGUCGUAAAUGCUCCAGCACAGAUCUACAAAGAGUUGGAGUAUACUCUAUCAAAACCACAAUACUUUUAUCACAGCUAACAAAAUUGACAAUAAUUUCAUAUAAUCACUUAAUAUCUGCUAUCUAAUAUCUCUACCUGUAUGUUUUUGCCUAUGACACUGAUUUUUCUAAGAUUUCAGAGUGGUUUUCUUAUAGAAAGUACACAUUCUGGGCUGAUUAUUUCUUUGUAGUCUUGCCUAACAUGACUUAAGGUUGCCAGAUUCUAUUCUGAAAAAAAAGGGAAAAUUUGAGACACACAUCCAGAGUUGUCCCAUAGAACUUUCUCCAGUUAUGGAAACGUUCUAUAACUACGCCAUUCAUUGUGGAAGCCACGAUUACAUGGGUAUUCAGCACUAUAAGUACAGCUCUUACAACUGAGGAACUAAAUUUUAAUUUAAUUACUUUAAGUCUUAAACUUAAGUAGCCAUGUCUGGCUAGUGCCCACUGAAUCAUUGGUCUAACAAAAAAGUGGAAAUAAUGUACCUAUGUUCUGCCUGUACAUGGCAGGGGUUUGAUGAAUGCUGGCCUUCCUCUCUCUCAAAUAUAUACUUUUCUUUGAGAGAGACAGAAACAAAGGAAGAAAGGGAGAGAGGGUGAGUGGGGGAAGGGCAGAGAGAGAGGGAGACACAGAAUCCGAAACAGGCUCCAGGCUCUGAGCUGUCACUGGGCUUGAAUUCCCAUGAAAUCAUGACCUACCUGAGGCAAAGUCAGAUGCUUAACCGACUGAGCCACCCGGGCGCCCUAUAUCUGCAUCUUUAACAUAUACACAUAAGGCUUAAGCGUUACAGUGCACAUUUCCUGAUAUAGAUGACCCUGCACAUUCACUUUCCAUUCAAAUUGUUUAUAGUGUGUGGUUGAAAUUACUUAGACCAAGCAAGGACAGUGAGAUUCAAUACUGGAUCUCUUAUUCCAGUUCAGAAAAAGGAUGUUUUUUUCCAUGAGAUUGACACUUGAAAGAUUGAAGCUGGAGCUCCUGACAGUCUGCCUGAUGGCAGUAAAAGUAUUGUGGUUUUGAUAAACAUAACCUGGAGAAGAGUAGAAGUGAGACUUAGAGGGGAAGACUUCCUCUUGGCCCCUGGAUCCAACUGUGCCUGCAGCCGACAAUGUGGAAUGAGGAGGAUCAGGUCUAUAGGUGUCAGUUUUAUGAGCUGAUAAAGUCCUUGUUUCUUCCUAAGCCAAUUAGAAGGGUGCUUCUGUCUUUUGUACCCGAAAGAGUGCUGUCAAAAUUUAACAACCAAGGGGGCACAGAAUUUGGAAUCAGGCAGACUGGAUUCUAAUGAGUCGGUGAUCCAGGGUCUGUGAGCAUCUGCAGAUACUGAGAUAAUUACACCUUCCUCUUUAGGCCUGUUGUGAGGACUAGAUGAGAUAGGAUGAUGUGCAUGUGAGAGAUACUCUGAAUAUGCUAAUUCCCUUUUUACACUUCCCCUGGGAGCUGAAAUGACACCAGACCCUUGAGUCCUCACACAGCGUUUUCCUUUUCUAUUGCUCCCUUAAAAGUUUUCCAUUUAUACCCAGAUGUCAUGUGAAGUCACCUGGACCUAUGUUAAAAGUUGAGAGGGGCAUUUCCUACAAUGGGUGAUGGAAUGAAUGUUCCCUCUCUGGUUUUGUAAGACAAUCCGUUUAGGGAGCAGUCAGAUUUGUCUUUGAAGGCAAUACAGACCCAAAUUGAUGGCUGUGAAUUUGUGUUGCCCUUCAGUCUUUUCCUUUCCGGAUGCUGUCAUCCAUAUAAUGGGGAUUUAAUCUUGCUCUGGCUUUGCUCAUACGGUGCAGUUUCUUUUGCCUUCUUAAAUGUAGCCAUGUGUAGAAGCGUCUCUAUUGGUAUUGAAGAUUUACUUGCCUUUUAUCAUCAUAGUGGAUUUAAGUUAAGUAGCUUGAUAAUCAGACAGAAUAUAAUUAGCUAAUCAUUUACAGGAUUACCCAGGCUAAAAAUCGACACAGUAAAAUACAGUAAGCAUGUUUAUGCCCGUCUAAAUCCUUGCAUUAAUAAAGGUGAUCAGAUUAUACAAUUCAAAUGAAUUUUCAAGAAAAUAUCCCUGGCAUAGAGGAUUAGAAAUAUAUUUAAGCUAAAUUUAGAAUUCAGGAAAAGCAAUCCUACAGCUUACUUUCCAUUAUUUUUUUUCCCUUUCAACUAAGCUCUUAAGCUGAAAAAAUUAAAGUCUGCAAGAUGUUUAAACAAUUCCGUCUAUAUUAGUAUGCUACGGUUUAUUAUAGAAUACAGUUGUAAAAUCAUUGCCAAGUUGCCCCUAAUACCUGCAUAAUCAUAACUGGGAAUCUCUAGCAAAGGCAUCAAUGUCCUGCUUACCUAUUAAUUUUAGCUCCUUAUCUGUAAUUACUCAUCUCCUUCUUGAGAAUCUGUCUCCUGUCCCCAGAGUCUCACCCCUGUCUCUGGAGCUCCGUAUCACAUUUGUGAAACCAUAUUCCCAAUCUGUCAGGCAAAUGCUGCUUUCUGUGGUCUAAUAGCCUAUCUAAAAUAAGCGCUUGUACCUUUAAGAUUUUGUUCAUUAUUUUAAAAAAACGUAUCAUAGUAUGUUUCCAAUUGUUUCAAAAUUAUGAAAAGUAAUGCAAUGUAUCUUUAAAGGUAGGCAACUCCUAGGACCACAUAUCUUUCUUAAAGGAAUUUUUGGUUGUGUUCCUUUGUCUUAGCAUGGCAGCCAAUUGUUAUUUUCAGUCAAUACUAUAAGAUUUCACCCCACCCCACACCCACCUCAUCCCUAUUUCCAUCCUAUCAGGAGCAUGACCAUAUGUGGCAGGAUAAAACUUCAAAGUAUUAAUAAAUCAAAAUGUUCCCUAUCUCUCAAGGGCUUCCUUAAAAAUUUUUCUAAAUGUUUGUUUGUUUAUUUACUUAUUUUUUAAUUUUUAAAAAAUGUUUAUUUUUGAGACACAGAGAGAGAGCAUGAGCAGGGGAGGGGCAAAGAGAGAGGGAGACAUAGAAUCUGAAGCAGGCUCCAGGCUCUGAGCUAUUAGCACAGAACCUGAUGGGGGGCUCAAACUCACGAACCGCGAGAUCAUGACCUGAGCCGAAGUUGGAUGCUUAACCAACUGAGCCACCCAGUCACCCCAAAAAACCUAACUUUUAGUUAAUGGUUUUUGCGUUUGAAGUCACACUCAGAAAAUGUUUUAUUAAACAAGACUUUAAAAAAUAGUCACUGAGAUAAUCUAUUAUCUUAAUGGACUAUUUCUCUUAACACUUAAGUCUUUUAUCUGUUUGAAUUUUGUUUUGUUGUAAUGUACAAAAUAAAGAUGACUAGUAUUUUUAGGUAGUGAAAUGGUAGUGAAUAGUUGCUAUUUGCUUCUCUAAAUUCAUUCACAAUUUUUUUUCUACAAAGAGCCCCUGAUUUUCAUUUAUAGAUCCACAUCCCUUUUUAUUUUUCUGUUCCUCUGUUUUGGGUAGUGCAGAAAUAGGACAUUAAGAGCCUGAUAUUCUUUAAUUUACUCUUGACUAACAGCACCUGGGGCAGAAACCACGGUCCUUCUGGUAAUGGCACAGGCAAUGUAAAGAAGCAUGUAAAGAAUAUUAGAGAAUAUUAACAUAUCUAUUACCAUAAAACGAAACUGACAGCUGUAUGUUUGUCAAAUGUUUUAUAUCAAAGAAAUGGGAGUUUAUACAUUUGUUUCCUAAUACCUGUCUUUGAGGUAUUAUGUAUGUUUCUCUGUAAGAAGGAACCUGAAAAUGUAUUCAGAACUUUGCUGGUUAGGGUAUCCAAGAAAUCGACUUCUCAGUCUUCUAUUCUGUAGUAGACUGUUAGAGUGUUUUUUGAAGGAAACAAUUUGCAGUUGUAACCCAUGUUUGUCAUAGAGGAUUGGCUUCACCCAGGGCUGGUAAGAGCUCACUUCCUAUGACAUCAUGUAACCUAGUAGCUUCUCCACCGGUGCAAGAACCACAGCCCUUGGGGUGGCUUGCAGUGGCUGAGCAGGCUGCAAAACCAGAGAAGCCUUGCAAAGGGUUCCAAUUCCCUUGUUUAUCCCAAUAUGUUGUAUAAACAUAACUAUCCUCUUAAUGUAGUAUGAAAAAGGCUGUGAGAUGGUGCAUUUUAAUAAAACAGUCUUCUGCUGAUUGAAUGUGAAUGAUAUUCCUGAAUGUGAAUUCACACACACGAAGUUUAAGGAAAGACUCUUUUGGGGGGCGUUUGCUCUUCUGCUGUGUGAAUACAUCAUGGCCAUGGAAAGCUGUAAAUCUCAGGCUAGGAUAUUCAUAUUCUAGAGAGGAAUGUUAGAUAAGUAACAAAGGAGGCUGAUAAAAAUUCCCUGGGUUUUCAGAAAAGUUAAGACUUUGAUUAAUUAAUUCUUUAUAUUCAUCUCCUCCCCCUUUUAUUGCAAAAUGAGAUAGUUAUUAUAAUCUGAGAGAUAAGACAGAAUCUACCGAGAGCCAUAUUUGUGCAUCUCUGUGGUUUGGGCAAAUGUGUUAAGCGAAUGAAAGAAAUUCACACUCUGGGGUGUCUUGGGUGGCUCAGUCAGCUGCAAGUCUGACUCUUGAUCUCAGCUCAGGUCAUGUUUUCACGGUCGUGGGAUCGAGUGCCCUGUGGGGCUCCACGCUGAGUGUGGAGCCUGCUUGAGAUUCUCUCUAUCUCUUCCUGUCCCCCAUGUCUCCCGUGUCCCCCACCCAUGUGCUGUCUGUCUGUCUCUCAAAUAAAAAUACAAUAAAAAUAAAUGCACAUUGAGAAUUCACUGGCCUUAAAAAAUAAUUUUCCACUUAAAAAAGAUAAGUUCCCAGUGGAAAAUAAAAAUCCCAUGACUUAUAAGACUUACGUUUAAACUGUAUCCACUAUUUUUGAGGCAUUUAGUAGGGGCAAGGAUGUCAAUUGGUGCUUGAGAUACAUUAAUAAAACGGAUAGCCCUUUACUUGGAAUGCUCAUAUUGUAGUGGGGAGAAGACAGAUACCAAACAGUGAACAUAAUGAGUAAGUAAAUUAGCACAUUAGAAGGUGGAAAGCAAUAUGAAAACAAGUGGAGCUUUUUAAAGGGGAUUGGCAGUGCUGGGGGAGCAGGGAUGUGGUGCGAUGUUUGCUAGGAAGCUACACUGCGAAGUCAUACCUGGAGUUGGAAAUGAAGGAAACGAAACAGCCAGCCACACAUUCCAGGGAGGGACCUAAGGGGGGAAUAAUACCAAGAGACCAAUCUGUCUGGAGUGGAGCGAACAAGAGGACAGCAGAGUAUGUAAAGAACUCCUUUCUACAACUUGACAAGAAUAACCCAAUUUUUUAAAAAAGGGUGAAGAACCUGAGUGGACAUGUCUCCAAAGAGGAAAGGAAUUACCAACAGCACAUGAAGAGAUGUCCGACAUCAAAAAAUCCAAACCAAUCCCACAGUGCCAUACCACCUCACUCCUAUAGAAUAGCUACUCUCAGGAAAAUAAAUAGGUGGUGGUGGGGGAAUAGCAAGUGUCAGCAGGAUGUGGAGAUGUUGGAACCCUUCUGGACUCUUGGUGGGACUGUAAAAUGGCGCAGUCACAUGGAAAACAGUGUGGCGAUUCUUAGGAAAAUUAAAGAUAGAAUUACCGUGUGAUCCAGCAAUGCCACUUUGACUGUUUAUCCCGAGUAAUUGAAAGCAGAGUCUCUAAAAAAUAUGCAUAAACCUAUGCUCAUAGUAGCAUUAUUUACAAGAGCUGCAAUGUGGAAGCAACCCAAGUUUCCAUCCACAGAUGAAUGGUUAACAAAGUGUGGUAUAUAUAUUUAUAUACCAUUCAGCCUUAAAAAGGAAGGAAAUUCUGACAUAUAUUGCAAUAUGGAUGAACCUUGAGGACAUUAUGCUAAGCGAAAUACAUCAGUCACAAAAAGGCAAAUACUGUAUGAUUCCACUUAUGUAUCUAGAGUGGUUACAUUCAUAGAGACAAAAAAUAGAAUGAUGGUUGCCAGAGGCUAUGGGAAAGGGAAAUUGGGAGUUAAUGUUUCAUGGGUACAGAGUCUCACCUUUGCAAGAUGAAGAGUUCUGAGGAUGGAUGGUGGCUAAAAUAGCCAGGAACUCCCAGAGGCAGUGUUAAAGUGACAGGAAGCCACUUUCUCACCCACACUGGCUCUCCACUGGGUCAUUCCCAACAAGAUACAAAACCAGUAAUACCGUUUGCCUUAGAAAACCCUUCUUUGAUCCUACAUCACUUAGUAAUUACCGUCCCACAGGGGCUUGGCUGGCUGAGUUGGUGGACUAUGUGACUCUUGAUCUCAGGGUUGUGAGUUCAAGCCCCACACUGGGUGCAGAGAUUACUUUAAAAACUGAAAA